GUGGGGAAUAUUGGACAAUGGGCGAAAGCCUGAUCCAGCCAUGCCGCGUGUGUGAAGAAGGUCUUCGGAUUGUAAAGCACUUUAAGUUGGGAGGAAGGGCAGUAAGUUAAUACCUUGCUGUUUUGACGUUACCGACAGAAUAAGCACCGGCUAACUUCGUGCCAGCAGCCGCGGUAAUACGAAGGGUGCAAGCGUUAAUCGGAAUUACUGGGCGUAAAGCGCGCGUAGGUGGUUUUGUAAGUUGGAGGUGAAAUCCCCAGGCUCAACCUGGGAACUGCCUCCAAAACUGCAUGACUAGAGUACGGUAGAGGGUAGUGGAAUUUCCUGUGUAGCGGUGAAAUGCGUAGAUAUAGGAAGGAACACCAGUGGCGAAGGCGACUACCUGGACUGAUACUGACACUGAGGUGCGAAAGCGUGGGGAGCAAACAGGAUUAGAUACCCCGGUAGUCC
rnacentral:rRNA from 1 species